AGCGAACGCUGGCGGCGUGCCUAACACAUGCAAGUCGAACGUGAAAGGGAGCAAUCCCCAGUAAAGUGGCGUACGGGUGAGUAACACGUAGGUAAUCUACCCCAGAAUCUGGAAUAACCGGCCGAAAGGCUGGCUAAUACUGGAUAGAGCGACGGAAUCCGUAAUUGGGUUUUUCGGGAAAGGGAGCCUGUAAAAAGGCCUUCGUUCUGGGAUGAGCCUGCGUCCCAUCAGCUAGUUGGUGAGGUAAAAGCUUACCAAGGCAAUGAUGGGUAGCUGGUCUGAGAGGACGAUCAGCCACACUGGAACUGAAACACGGUCCAGACUCCUACGGGAGGCAGCAGUGGGGAAUCUUGCGCAAUGGACGAAAGUCUGACGCAGCAACGCCGCGGGAGUGAAGAAGGCCUUCGGGUUGUAAAGCUCUGUCGAGUGGGACGAAAAUGCUUGGAGUUCACAGCUCCAGGAACUGACGGUACCACUAAAGGAAGCACCGGCUAACUCCGUG
rnacentral:rRNA from 1 species